UCAACAGGGGCGGGGUUUGCUCUGUUGCGUCACGCUCACAAGACCACUCCCAAAGUAAUGCGAUAUUAAAUAUUAUUUAUACACUGAUAAUUGUUUAUUUAAUAAAAACAGCUUGGGUUCGGAUGUUAUGGAUUCCUAUAUUUUUAAAUGGAAAAACUAUGAUUAAAAAAAACUAUCAUUCAGUUUGAGGAAGUGCGCGUGAGAGGGGCGGGCCUUGGUGUGACGUUGACAAACCACGCCUACACACGCUUCUGUUUACAGAAGUACAAAAGUGAAUUGAAUGUUUUGACAGGCGAUCAUGUAGUUUAUACCCAUAAAUAGUUUCAUCGGAAAUAUUAUUAUGCCUCGACGGGCUCAAGAAGACACAGAACCCCUGCUUUCAUCCACUCAUAUCGACGAAAACGAUGACCAGGCGUCCAGCAGCAAAGAAACUUUCAUAUGAGGAGGCUGUUGAGAAAGCAGGUUUCGGGGCUCUUCCACUGGCUGCUGUUGGUGGUCUGUGGGUGGGCGAACGCUAGCGAUGCGGUGGAGAUCCUGUGUGUUUCGUUCCCUUUGCCCACGGCACGCUGUGACCU